rnacentral:rRNA from 1 species
UACGUAGGCAGCAAGCGUUGUUCGGAGUUACUGGGCGUAAAGAGUGCGUAGGCGGUGCUCUAAGUUUGGUGUGAAAUCUCCCGGCUCAACUGGGAGGGUGCGCUGAAAACUGGAGUGCUUGAGUAUGGGAGAGGUAAGCGGAAUUCCUGGUGUAGCGGUGAAAUGCGCAGAUAUCAGGAGGAACACCGGUGGCGAAGGCGGUUCUCUGGGCAUGUCCUGACGCUGAGGAGCGAAAGUGUGGGGAGCGAACGG